GGGAGCAAAUGGCGUCGGGAACUCUGGAACUUUCCUUUGUAUGUUACAUUAAUCCAUAUAAGAAAAUCUCUUUUAAUGAGGAGUGAUGUAGUUACAAACUCUCCAGAGCCAUAAUUAGAGCAAACUAAUUGAAGCUGUGUUUUGACACACUUUCCAAACUCACGGGCGCCGGCGACACACUCACAACACUGCUGCAGAAUCAUUAGGCUAAUAACACUCGCUCGCAUCCCGUGAAGCUCGCCCUCCCUCAGACGCUGUUUCUGCACCCGCCUGCCCUGUGGACUCCACUGAAGAUAUCAACUGUGAUUAUGAGCACUUUUGUGGAAUUCUAAUGUUAAGAG
ensembl:misc_RNA NRON non-coding repressor of NFAT